AUGAACGCUAGCUACAGGCUUAACACAUGCAAGUCGAGGGGCAUCAGGAAGAAAGCUUGCUUUCUUUGCUGGCGACCGGCGCACGGGUGAGUAACACGUAUCCAACCUGCCCUUUACUCGGGGAUAGCCUUUCGAAAGAAAGAUUAAUACCCGAUGGCAUAAUGAUUCCGCAUGGUUUCAUUAUUAAAGGAUUCCGGUAAAGGAUGGGGAUGCGUUCCAUUAGGUUGUUGGUGAGGUAACGGCCCACCAAGCCUUCGAUGGAUAGGGGUUCUGAGAGGAAGGUCCCCCACAUUGGAACUGAGACACGGUCCAAACUCCUACGGGAGGCAGCAGUGAGGAAUAUUGGUCAAUGGGCGCUAGCCUGAACCAGCCAAGUAGCGUGAAGGAUGAAGGCUCUAUGGGUCGUAAACUUCUUUUAUAUAAGAAUAAAGUGCAGUAUGUAUACUGUUUUGUAUGUAUUAUAUGAAUAAGGAUCGGCUAACUCCGUGCCAGCAGCCGCGGUAAUACGGAGGAUCCGAGCGUUAUCCGGAUUUAUUGGGUUUAAAGGGAGCGUAGGUGGACUGGUAAGUCAGUUGUGAAAGUUUGCGGCUCAACCGUAAAAUUGCAGUUGAUACUGUCAGUCUUGAGUACAGUAGAGGUGGGCGGAAUUCGUGGUGUAGCGGUGAAAUGCUUAGAUAUCACGAAGAACUCCGAUUGCGAAGGCAGCUCACUGGACUGCAACUGACACUGAUGCUCGAAAGUGUGGGUAUCAAACAGGAUUAGAUACCCUGGUAGUCCACACAGUAAACGAUGAAUACUCGCUGUUUGCGAUAUACAGUAAGCGGCCAAGCGAAAGCAUUAAGUAUUCCACCUGGGGAGUACGCCGGCAACGGUGAAACUCAAAGGAAUUGACGGGGGCCCGCACAAGCGGAGGAACAUGUGGUUUAAUUCGAUGAUACGCGAGGAACCUUACCCGGGCUUAAAUUGCAGUGGAAUGAUGUGGAAACAUGUCAGUGAGCAAUCACCGCUGUGAAGGUGCUGCAUGGUUGUCGUCAGCUCGUGCCGUGAGGUGUCGGCUUAAGUGCCAUAACGAGCGCAACCCUUAUCUUUAGUUACUAACAGGUUAUGCUGAGGACUCUGGAGAGACUGCCGUCGUAAGAUGUGAGGAAGGUGGGGAUGACGUCAAAUCAGCACGGCCCUUACGUCCGGGGCUACACACGUGUUACAAUGGGGGGUACAGAAGGCAGCUACACGGCGACGUGAUGCUAAUCCCGAAAGCCUCUCUCAGUUCGGAUUGGAGUCUGCAACCCGACUCCAUGAAGCUGGAUUCGCUAGUAAUCGCGCAUCAGCCACGGCGCGGUGAAUACGUUCCCGGGCCUUGUACACACCGCCCGUCAAGCCAUGGGAGCCGGGGGUACCUGAAGUACGUAACCGCAAGGAUCGUCCUAGGGUAAAACUGGUGACUGGGGCU
rnacentral:rRNA from 1 species